GGAGGAGUUCCCAAAGAGGAAACGGCGCAGGAACAGCAAAUGCAGAGAGGAUGCACACUCUGAAGAGGGCAGGCAGCUUCUGCACCGAGGGAGCAAAGGGGCGUGUCAGGGGCAGCUGCUGGAAGGAGGCGCAAGCACCACGGAGAGUCUGGGAUGCCCAGCCAAGGAGCCCUGGAAGGGUUGCCCUGGGGACUGACACUGUGGGCUCUGUGUUUUAGCCAAGUCACCCAGGCAGCUGAACAGAAGAUGGACUGGAGGGAGAAGCCUGGAUGUAGGAUCGCUCAGCAACAAAGGAGCCAGAAAAGGCAAGGUGUACACACCGUGUGCAGCAUGGGCGAGCUGCAGGCAUGCAGGAGCUGUAACGCUCACUGCGAAGAUCUGCAGCUUCACUCCUGAGCCCAGCGAGACCGUGAACCCACCGGGAGGAACGAACAACUCCAGACCCGCUGCCUUAAGAGCUGUAACACUCACUGCGAAGGUCUGCAGCUUCACUCCUGAGCCAGCGAGACCACGAACCCACCCGAAGGAAGAAACUCCGAACACAUCUGAACAUCAGAAGGGAUAGACUCCAGAUGCGCCACCUUAAGAGCUGUAACACUCACCGCGAGGGUCCGCAGCUUCAUUCUUGAAGUCAAUGAGACCAAGAACCCACCAAUUCCGGACACAAAA
ensembl:lncRNA LINC02757 long intergenic non-protein coding RNA 2757